rnacentral:rRNA from 1 species
AACGAACGCUGGCGGCAUGCCUAACACAUGCAAGUCGAACGAGACCUUCGGGUCUAGUGGCGCACGGGUGCGUAACGCGUGGGAAUCUGCCCUUGGGUUCGGAAUAACAGUUAGAAAUGACUGUUAAUACCGGAUGAUGACGUAAGUCCAAGAUUUAUCGCCCAAGGAUGAGCCCGCGUAGGAUUAGCUUGUUGGUGAGGUAAAAGCUCACCAAGGCGACGAUCCUUAGCUGGUCUGAGAGGAUGAUCAGCCACACUGGGACUGAGACACGGCCCAGACUCCUACGGGAGGCAGCAGUGGGGAAUAUUGGACAAUGGGCGAAAGCCUGAUCCAGCAAUGCCGCGUGAGUGAUGAAGGCCUUAGGGUUGUAAAGCUCUUUUACCCGGGAUGAUAAUGACAGUACCGGGAGAAUAAGCCCCGGCUAACUUCGUGCCAGCCGCCGCCGUAACAC